rnacentral:sRNA from 1 species
UGCCAAUGAUGAUAGUACGGUUUUCGUGUAAUUUAUGACGUUCUGUGAUUACCUAUAUACCUACUGCCUUCCUUCUGAGGCUGAUCUCUUUUUCUUAAAAUAAUAACAUACUUUUUAUGAAUUUAGCGUAGAUUAUCUUAUCGUUUAUUGAUUAUAAGUAAUAGGGUCGUGUGAUGAUUUGACGCAUAGUUCAACUGAAUCUCUGUGAUUAAGCAAUUUUCAUGUCUUUCGCUCCUAUCUGACGACCCUU